GACGAACGCUGGCGGCGUGGAUUAGGCAUGCAAGUCGAACGGUAUCAUCCUUUCGGGGGUGAGAGAGUGGCGAACUGGUGAGUAACACGUAGGUUAUCUACCCUCAAGACGGGGACAACCCAGGGAAACUUGGGCUAAUACCGGAUGUGAGCAACUUUUAGUUGUUUGAAAGGUGGCGUAAGCUGUCGCUUGGGGAUGAGCCUGCGUCCUAUUAGUUAGUUGGUGAGGUAACGGCUCACCUAGGCAAUGAUAGGUAGGCGGCCUUAACGGGUGGUCGCCCACACUGGGAUUGAGAUACGGCCCAGACUCCUACGGGAGGCAGCAGUCGAGAAUAGUCUACAAUGGUCGGAAGACUGAUAGUGCGACGCCGCGUGAACGAGGGAGCCCUUCGGGGUGUAAAGUCUUUUCUUAUACGAGCAGUGCUAUAUAUAUGGAUAGUAUAUAUAGAGGGAUAGUAGUAUAGGAAUAAGCAACGGCUAACUCCGUGCCAGCAGCCGCGGUAAACAUACUCG
rnacentral:rRNA from 1 species